AAGAGACUGGGAUAAACACCUGGAAACAGAUGCUAAUACCGGAUAACAACACUAGACGCAUGUCUUAAGNGUUUAAAAGAUGGUUCUGCUAUCACUCUUGGAUGGACCUGCGGUGCAUUAGCUAGUUGGUAAGGUAACGGCUUACCAAGGCAAUGAUGCAUAGCCGAGUUGAGAGACUGAUCGGCCACAUUGGGACUGAGACACGGCCCAAACUCCUACGGGAGGCAGCAGGG
rnacentral:rRNA from 1 species